ACACACACACACACAGAAACACACACGAAGAGAAGAGAGCAAAGGAAUGGCGUGAUUCAAAGCUACUGCCUUCACCAAUCGAGCACUAGCGGUAUCACCGUCCGGCCUCGAUCCCGUCAUCUCCUAGCCCUAGCGCUUGUUUGACCUCGACCAGAACUCGGUAAGUCUAAUAAUUGCACUCUCAACGUUUAUUCUUGAUUUACUUUAGAGUUUUGAUUCAGGAAUCUAUUUUAGGGUUUUCGAUUUGGGUUCUCGAUUUUGGGAUUUCAAUUUUGAGGGUUUGGCAAAAUUUUCUUUGGUGUUUGGAGGCAAUCACUUGAUGAGGCUGCAGAACCAAGUUUUCUAGAUCUAUUUUCUUCUCUGCCAUUUGACGGUUCUUGAUUCUUCCGUUUGAAUUGAUGAUUUCUAGCAGGUGCUGGUUUUCAGCCAUGGCCUCCGGUCAUGAUUUCCGGCAGCAGAGAGUUGUCUGUACGUAUGCUUUUUGUUAAUCUUCAAUACUUGAGUUUAAGAUUACUUGCUUGAUUGUGAUGUCCUUUUUACUACUAAGAUAUUUGAGCAUUCAAUAUCAAUUGCUAAUUUUGUGGUAAUUACAAAAAAAAGAAAAAGAAAGGCUAAUGUUGUGUUAAACCCUAAAUCAUUGGACUGUUCUCCCUAUUCUUUUUCAGCAGAGGUCUUUUUGAAUAUAUAUGCUCAACGAUAAAUUCUGAAAAUUUGUAACUGUAAGUAUAUUGUCACAAAACUAGAUUAAAUUGAACCUCAUAGCUAAUACUCAUUUAUUUUAAUUGAAUCAUAUGUGUUGUUGAGUAGAAAAGUUGUUAUUAAAAGCAAAAUUCUCAAUUACAUGCUUGUUUGUACUAGUGGUAGCCAAGAGCAACUCUGUAUAUUGUGAUUUCAUAGUUGUUUAGUUUUUUUCCCUUCAAGUUGCAGUUUUUGUGAAAUUUGAUUAUGCAAUGGGUAAAUGUGUAUGUGCUGAUUUGCUUAUAGCGAUAGCUAUCAUAUUUGUUGAUAUCUAAUUGCUCCAUAAAAAAUAGCUUUCUUCUACUUCUAUGUUCUUGGUUUCAAAGCUUGGUUAGGAGCUAUGUAGAAUUGAGCACUGAACUUGUCACAUGUCACAAUACAUAUUGCCCUCUCCAACAAAGAUUUGGGAGAAGGAAUAAUUUAUAGUUGAUUUGGGAAAAAGGAGUAAGUUUUUGGACAUAUCUCUCAAACCAUUGCAAAUGGUGAAAAAAUGGCCUCAUCAGGUACGGUAAUGUCUACAAAUUAUAUUGUAGGUCAAAAUUCUAGAUGUUUCACUUUGUGCAGUCCUUGGUAGAUCUUAACAGUAACUCUUUAUUUUCACUAUUGUGGAUUUGUGAUAGUGGUUAUUAACCUAUCGAUCUUUGUCUUGUGUAUGUGCUUAGCUUUUAGCAUUCUUAGUAUGAGUUAAUUUGUCAACUGAAAUAAAACUAUUACGGAAACUAAGAGUUUGAGAGACACCUAUUGUUGGAGAGCAUAUAUAAGUGUUAGAAAUUAUUUCUGCUUUUUGGUUCAGAGAUUUAACAUUCAAUCCCCUUUGGAAGUUUGGGUAUAAAGUACUGUACAAAGUUCUACCUUGUGCUACAAUUUAAUUUUGAGAUUUGCCAUGCUUCUUUGAUUUGUCCUGCUUCUUCUUUGGUUUGUCCUACUUCUUUGAUUUGGGUAGAAAUGGAAGAUUGUAAAACAAACAUGCUUGUACUAGUAGGACCCAAAAGUACCCAAGCCUGUUUUAACCUAGUUAUUUUGUUUUGCCCUUCAUCUUGUAGGUUUUUCCUAAAUCUUUGGAGACCAAUUUGGGCAACCACAUGGAUAGCAUGCACAACCACAUGGAUUGCAUGAACAAUAUAUUAGGAUGUAGAACAAACAUGCUUGUUCAGUUUUCCUUUCAUUCUCUUUCUACAAGAAGAAAGUAGUAUUUUCAAUGUGCGAGAUUAGGGUGUGGUGAGAGCCAUUUGUAUGGAACUGAAGGUCCACUAUAUUACUUGAAGAAUGGAACUACUGUUCGUUGGAGUCCUGCCCGUUGCGAGGAAGAAGUAUGCUCUACACUUGUUUCUUGUUGUCUCUCCUAUCUAUAUUUGGCUGGUAUUUAUGUCUUUGCAGCCUCACAAAGAGCAAAGACUAUAAAUCUUGCGGCUAUCUGUACUCCGGCAGAUUACAAUACGAGGCCUCUUGACACAAUUUACAGCAACUUCAUCGAUGCUCUACCCGUGGUACGCGCCUUUGAUUUUCUUGAUGUUUUAUUCCGGAGCAUUAAUGAAAUGCGCGUGGCUUUAAUGGUGAAUUGUUGUGAUUCUUGACAGGUUUGUGGAGUUUUUUGAUUUUGUUGUUGGCAUUAGUUGAAGCUGAAUGUGCAUUUUGAUGUGAAUUGGAUGUUAUGUUAUGUGAGGUGAAGUACUGUUCGGAAAACAACAAGUGUCUCAUUCACUUGUCUACUUGUGAAGUGUAUGGGAAAACAAUUGGUAGCUUCCUUCCUACAGAUCACCCUAUGCGGCAGGUGAGGCUUCAUUUUGUGCUUUGUUUAUGCAAGGACCAGAACUUAGUUUUAUUUAAUACUCCAGGGACAUUGUGGUGCCCUUUUUGUGUUUUUAUUUUUAAUUAUGAGGUUGCUUGGUAGUUGGAUCAUGAACUUAUUAACAUUUCACCUGGAGUUUGAAAGUCUCGUUGUUUUUCCUUGUGCAGUUUAUGUACAAUGGGGUUUUAAGAAAAGUGUGAAACUUGGACAUGGUUGGGCGAAUACUUGAUGAUUUGAAUUAUUUAGUACCAAUUCACUGGUCUAACGACUUUGACCCUGCUUAUAAUGAAGUAAUGUUCACGGCGAUAAGUUAUAACCAUUGACUUGAUUAGUGCAUGUUAUGAUCUUAUAUGGGAGCCAUCUGAUGGCAGUCCGAAGUUUGUUCGUUCAUGUUAAUUUGGCAUGAUGAUGAUAUUAUGCAUCAGGGGAAAUAUUCAAGUGCAGUUGCAUGGAUUACCAUUGGAGCUAAUUAGUUAUUUAUCUAUCAGAUGAUCCCAUUGACCAAACAAAAGAUUAUGAGUGUGCGCAAAAAAAAGGAAGGGAAAAUAUUCUGGUAGUGAUCACUUAGUCCAGGGACUUGAAUUCUGGAUAUAUGAAUAUGACCAAGGAUUAUUUGAUGCUGAUGCUAGUUCUGUUUUAUGCCAUUCUGAUUCUGAAAUGGAAACAAAGUCGCUUAUUGACUAAAAGAGAGAAGCUGUCUCAUAGUACAAGGUCCAGGGAGAGUUAUGUGCUGUAGAACAAAGUUGAACCUAGGAC